CCCUUAGAUGUUCUGGGCUGCACACGUGCUACACUGGCAGGUUCUGCGAGCUUCAUGCCCUGAUCUGAAAGGAAUGGGAAAUCUUUUCAAAACCUGCCGUGCUUGGGAUAGAUGUUUGCAAUUAUUCAUCUUCAACGAGGAUUGCCUUGUAAGCGCACGUCAUCAGCGUGCAUUGAAUACGACCCUGUAUUCUGUACACACCGCCCGUCGCUCCUACCGAUUGAAGUUUUCGGUGAGUUGACAGGAGGAUUUUUUUGAAACUGGUUCGCCAGUGGAUUUUAGAUCCAAAUGCCAACGAAUCGAUGGCUUUAGAGGAAGGAGAAGUCGUAACA
rnacentral:rRNA from 1 species